rnacentral:rRNA from 1 species
UACGUAGGUGACAAGCGUUGUCCGGAUUUACUGGGCGUAAAGAGCGCGCAGGCGGUCGUUCAAGUCGAGUGUGAAAGCCCCCGGUUCAACUGGGGAGGGUCACUCGAUACUGAUCGACUCGAAGGCAGGAGAGGGAAGUGGAAUUCCCGGUGUAGUGGUGAAAUGCGUAGAUAUCGGGAGGAACACCAGUGGCGAAGGCGACUUCCUGGCCUGUUCUUGACGCUGAGGCGCGAAAGCUAGGGGAGCAAACGGG